rnacentral:rRNA from 1 species
GAUGAACGCUGGCGGCGUGCCUAAUACAUGCAAGUCGAGCGAACGGACGAGAAGCUUGCUUCUCUGAUGUUAGCGGCGGACGGGUGAGUAACACGUGGAUAACCUACCUAUAAGACUGGGAUAACUUCGGGAAACCGGAGCUAAUACCGGAUGAUAUUUUGAACCGCAUGGUUCAAAAGUGAAAGACGGUCUUGCUGUCACUUAUAGAUGGAUCCGCGCCGCAUUAGCUAGUUGGUAAGGUAACGGCUUACCAAGGCAACGAUGCAUAGCCGACCUGAGAGGGGGAUCGGCCACACUGGAACUGGGACACGGUCCAGACUCCUACGGGAGGCAGCAGUAGGGAAUCUUCCGCAAUGGGCGAAAGCCUGACGGAGCAACGCCGCGUGAGUGAUGAAGGUCUUCGGAUCGUAAAACUCUGUUAUUAGGGAAGAACAUAUGUGUAAGUGACUGUGCACAUCUUGACGGUACCUAAUCAGAAAGCCACGGCUAACUACGUG